AUCUUCAUCGGAAGAUUUCUGUCCUCCUUAAUCCCGUUACAAAAUUAUUGACUAAAUAAAUAGAUUUUAGAUUUUGAAAUGGACAUUUUCAGCCAAAGCAGGUACACAGCUUACCAUGUCCUAGAUCAUAAGAUAUCGGUUAUGCAAGAAAAUUCGUUUGGAGUGUUUCCGAUUAUGAGUUAAAAGAGAACAACACGCCGCUUCGACUGAUGGAAAUAAAUCGAUCAGGACAGGUGUGAACAUAAAGGGUGCGAUAAAGUCGACCAACAAAACUGACUUUGCAUAUGAAAAUUCAACAUAGCUUUAUUGACAUCAUCGUCGGAAACCCAUGGUGGAUUACGCUUCGUUCCUCUCUUGCUUUGACUUUGUUGUUUUUGUUUGGUAUUUAACAUUAAAUAGAUAUUACUUAA